ACUGUUGUCGUCUAGUGGUUUCAGGACGCCGGAUAUUCGAAUAAAAUGAAUGUCUGGAGACCGGGGUUCGAAUCCCCGCGGUGGUU